GUGCUCACUUCGGCAGCACAUACACUAACAUUGGAACUAGACAGAUUAGCAUGGCCCCUGCACAAGAAUGACACACAAAUUCAUGAAGUGUUCCGUAUUUUU
rnacentral:snRNA from 1 species